AGAGAUAGAGGAGUGCUCGAAAGAGAACCGUAACACAGGUGCUGCAUGGCUGUCGUCAGCUCGUGUCGUGAGAUGUUGGGUUAAGUCCCGCAACGAGCGCAACCCUUGUCAUUAGUUGCUACAUUCAGUUGGGCACUCUAAUGAGACUGCCGGUGACAAACCGGAGGAAGGUGGGGAUGACGUCAAGUCCUCAUGGCCCUUAUAGGUGGGGCUACACACGUCAUACAAUGGAUGGUACAAAGGGUCGCCAACCCGCGAGGGGGAGCCAAUCCCAUAAAGCCAUUCGUAGUCCGGAUCGCAGUCUGCAACUCGACUGCGUGAAGUCGGAAUCGCUAGUAAUCGUGGAUCAGAAUGUCACGGUGAAUACGUUCCCGGGUCUU
rnacentral:rRNA from 1 species